GGUUAAGCGACUAAGCGUACACGGUGGAUGCCCUGGCAGUCAGAGGCGAUGAAGGGCGUGCUAAUCUGCGAUAAGCGCCGGUAAGGUGAUAUGAACCGUUAUAACCGGCGAUACCCGAAUGGGGAAACCCAGUGUGAUUCGUCACACUAUCAUUAACUGAAUCCAUAGGUUAAUGAGGCGAACCGGGGGAACUGAAACAUCUAAGUACCCCGAGGAAAAGAAAUCAACCGAGAUUCCCCCAGUAGCGGCGAGCGAACGGGGAGGAGCCCAGAGCCUGAAUCAGCAUGUGUGUUAGUGGAAGCGUCUGGAAAGGUGCGCGAUACAGGGUGACAGCCCCGUACACAAAAGCGCAUGUGCUGUGAGCUCGAUGAGUAGGGCGGGACACGUGGUAUCCUGUCUGAAUAUGGGGGGACCAUCCUCCAAGGCUAAAUACUCCUGACUGACCGAUAGUGAACCAGUACCGUGAGGGAAAGGCGAAAAGAACCCCGGCGAGGGGAGUGAAAAAGAACCUGAAACCGUGUACGUACAAGCAGUGGGAGCACAGGUUUACCUGUGUGACUGCGUACCUUUUGUAUAAUGGGUCAGCGACUUAUAUUCUGUAGCAAGGUUAACCGUAUAGGGGAGCCGUAGGGAAACCGAGUCUUAACCGGGCGUUAAGUUGCAGGGUAUAGACCCGAAACCCGGUGAUCUAGCCAUGGGCAGGUUGAAGGUUGGGUAACACUAACUGGAGGACCGAACCGACUAAUGUUGAAAAAUUAGCGGAUGACCUGUGGCUGGGGGUGAAAGGCCAAUCAAACCGGGAGAUAGCUGGUUCUCCCCGAAAGCUAUUUAGGUAGCGCCUCGUGAAUUCAUCUCCGGGGGUAGAGCACUGUUUCGGCUAGGGGGCCAUCCCGGCUUACCAACCCGAUGCAAACUGCGAAUACCGGAGAAUGUUAUCACGGGAGACACACGGCGGGUGCUAACGUCCGUCGUGAAGAGGGAAACAACCCAGACCGCCAGCUAAGGUCCCAAAGUCAUGGUUAAGUGGGAAACGAUGUGGGAAGGCCCAGACAGCCAGGAUGUUGGCUUAGAAGCAGCCAUCAUUUAAAGAAAGCGUAAUAGCUCACUGGUCGAGUCGGCCUGCGCGGAAGAUGUAACGGGGCUAAACCAUGCACCGAAGCUGCGGCAGCGAACGUAUCACCCAAGACAACUUUACGGAGUUGACGAUUGACGGAGCGAAGCGACGUCAAAGCGUUCAUUAAAGUCGAGUUGGCUUAGGGAUACGUUCGUUGGGUAGGGGAGCGUUCUGUAAGCCUGUGAAGGUGUGUCGUGAGGCAUGCUGGAGGUAUCAGAAGUGCGAAUGCUGACAUAAGUAACGAUAAAGCGGGUGAAAAGCCCGCUCGCCGGAAGACCAAGGGUUCCUGUCCAACGUUAAUCGGGGCAGGGUGAGUCGACCCCUAAGGCGAGGCCGAAAGGCGUAGUCGAUGGGAAACGGGUUAAUAUUCCCGUACUUGGUGUUACUGCGAAGGGGGACGGAGAAGGCUAUGUUGGCCGGGCGACGGUUGUCCCGGUUUAAGCGUGUAGGUGUGUGUUCCAGGUAAAUCCGGUUCACUUUAACACUGAGGCGUGACGACGAGGCACUACGGUGCUGAAGCAACAAAUGCCCUGCUUCCAGGAAAAGCCUCUAAGCAUCAGGUAACAUCAAAUCGUACCCCAAACCGACACAGGUGGUCAGGUAGAGAAUACCAAGGCGCUUGAGAGAACUCGGGUGAAGGAACUAGGCAAAAUGGUGCCGUAACUUCGGGAGAAGGCACGCUGACACGUAGGUGAAGUGAUUUACUCAUGGAGCUGAAGUCAGUCGAAGAUACCAGCUGGCUGCAACUGUUUAUUAAAAACACAGCACUGUGCAAACACGAAAGUGGACGUAUACGGUGUGACGCCUGCCCGGUGCCGGAAGGUUAAUUGAUGGGGUCAGCGCAAGCGAAGCUCCUGAUCGAAGCCCCGGUAAACGGCGGCCGUAACUAUAACGGUCCUAAGGUAGCGAAAUUCCUUGUCGGGUAAGUUCCGACCUGCACGAAUGGCGUAAUGAUGGCCAGGCUGUCUCCACCCGAGACUCAGUGAAAUUGAACUCGCUGUGAAGAUGCAGUGUACCCGCGGCAAGACGGAAAGACCCCGUGAACCUUUACUAUAGCUUGACACUGAACAUUGAGCCUUGAUGUGUAGGAUAGGUGGGAGGCUUUGAAGUGUGGACGCCAGUCUGCAUGGAGCCGACCUUGAAAUACCACCCUUUAAUGUUUGAUGUUCUAACGUGGACCCGUAAUCCGGGUUGCGGACAGUGUCUGGUGGGUAGUUUGACUGGGGCGGUCUCCUCCUAAAGAGUAACGGAGGAGCACGAAGGUUGGCUAAUCCUGGUCGGACAUCAGGAGGUUAGUGCAAUGGCAUAAGCCAGCUUGACUGCGAGCGUGACGGCGCGAGCAGGUGCGAAAGCAGGUCAUAGUGAUCCGGUGGUUCUGAAUGGAAGGGCCAUCGCUCAACGGAUAAAAGGUACUCCGGGGAUAACAGGCUGAUACCGCCCAAGAGUUCAUAUCGACGGCGGUGUUUGGCACCUCGAUGUCGGCUCAUCACAUCCUGGGGCUGAAGUAGGUCCCAAGGGUAUGGCUGUUCGCCAUUUAAAGUGGUACGCGAGCUGGGUUUAGAACGUCGUGAGACAGUUCGGUCCCUAUCUGCCGUGGGCGCUGGAGAACUGAGGGGGGCUGCUCCUAGUACGAGAGGACCGGAGUGGACGCAUCACUGGUGUUCGGGUUGUCAUGCCAAUGGCACUGCCCGGUAGCUAAAUGCGGAAGAGAUAAGUGCUGAAAGCAUCUAAGCACGAAACUUGCCCCGAGAUGAGUUCUCCCUGAGACUUAGAGUCUCCUGAAGGAACGUUGAAGACGACGACGUUGAUAGGCCGGGUGUGUAAGCGCAGCGAUGCGUUGAGCUAACCGGUACUAAUGAACCGUGAGGCUUAACCUU
rnacentral:rRNA from 1 species